rnacentral:rRNA from 1 species
AAUUAAUUGGAAACGGAGGGGAUAGAGAUGGGAACGCGCAGGAUAGAUAGUUGUGAGGUACGCUCAUCAGUCGAUGAUCUUUAGGGGGCUGAGAGGGUGAUCCCCCCACACUGGUACUGAGACACGGACCCAGACUCUACGGGAGGCAGCAGUGAGGAAUAUGGACAAUGGGUUAGCGCUGAUCCAGCCAUCCCGCGUGAAGGACGACGGCCCUAUGGGUUGUAAACUUCUUUGUACAGGGAUAAACCUAUCUACGUGUAGAUAGCUGAAGGUACUGUACGAAUAAGCACCGGCUAACUCCGUGCCAGCAGCCGCGGUAAUACGGAGGGUGCAAGCGUUAUCCGGAUUUAUUGGGUUUAAAGGGUCCGUAGGCGGAUCCGUAAGUCAGUGGUGAAAUCUCACAGCUUAACUGUGAAACUGCCAUUGAUACUGCGGGUCUUGAGUAAGGUAGAAGUGGCUGGAAUAAGUAGUGUAGCGGUGAAAUGCAUAGAUAUUACUUAGAACACCAAUUGCGAAGGCAGGUCACUAUGUCUUAACUGACGCUGAUGGACGAAAGCGUGGGGAGCGAACAGGAUUAGAUACCCUGGUAGUCCACGCCGUAAACGAUGCUAACUCGUUUUUGGGCUUUCGGGUUCAGAGACUAAGCGAAAGUGAUAAGUUAGCCACCUGGGGAGUACGUUCGCAAGAAUGAAACUCAAAGGAAUUGACGGGGGCCCGCACAAGCGGUGGAUUAUGUGGUUUAAUUCGAUGAUACGCGAGGAACCUUACCAAGGCUUAAAUGGGAAUUGACAGACGCAGAAAUGUGUUUUUCUUCGGACAAUUUUCAAGGUGCUGCAUGGUUGUCGUCAGCUCGUGCCGUGAGGUGUUAGGUUAAGUCCUGCAACGAGCGCAACCCCUGUUACUAGUUGCUACCAUUAAGUUGAGGACUCUAGUAAGACUGCCUACGCAAGUAGAGAGGAAGGUGGGGAUGACGUCAAAUCAUCACGGCCCUUACGCCUUGGGCCACACACGUAAUACAAUGGCCGGUACAGAGGGCAGCUACACAGCGAUGUGAUGCGAAUCUCGAAAGCCGGUCUCAGUUCGGAUUGGAGUCUGCAACUCCGACUCCUAUGAAGCUGGAAUCGCUUAUUA